rnacentral:rRNA from 1 species
AAACUUGAGAGUUUGAUCCUGGCUCAGAACGAACGCUGGCGGCAUGCCUAACACAUGCAAGUCGAACGAGACCUUCGGGUCUAGUGGCGCACGGGUGCGUAACGCGUGGGAACCUGCCUUUAGGUUCGGAAUAACUCAGAGAAAUUUGAGCUAAUACCGGAUGAUGUCUUCGGACCAAAGAUUUAUCGCCUUUAGAUGGGCCCGCGUUGGAUUAGCUAGUUGGUGGGGUAAAGGCCUACCAAGGCGACGAUCCAUAGCUGGUCUUAGAGGAUGAUCAGCCACACUGGGACUGAGACACGGCCCAGACUCCUAC